AUGUUUAAAUGCACAUUAAAGAGCCACUGUUGCUUAAUAANCCAGGGGAACCCGCAGAACGCAGCCGUCUGGCCCCUUACCUUCCUGCUAACAAAAGCACAGUUUUCUUUUAGAAAAAGCUCCUCCCCUUCUUCCAUCUCUCAGAUUGACCGAUCAUGGGUUGGGAGAGAAGCCGAGAGGAUCAGAGUCAGGCAAGAGAAACUCUCCCUGCGAGCGAGGAGGCAGCUUCCUCCCAAUCAGGCAGGGUAUGCUUUGAUUUUCAGAUCAGCCAAUCUUUUAAAAAGUGCUGGGACUACAACCCCAUCUCCGACUGCAAUGGCCAUAACCCAAGCGCAUGCGGCAUCGAGGAAGGAAAAAAAAAGAAUUAAAAAGGACUACAGGGAAAUGUAGUUCACUGAUUCACCCCGCACACCCUCCAUUUUCUCCUGGCCCAUAAUGGGGGGGGUGUUGCGCAUACACCGAUUGGUCCGAUCCUUCCUCAUUGCUCCUCUCUUCCGGCCCUAUAGCCUGCGGUUUGUUAUUGGGUGGCAAAGAGGCGGGGGAGGAGAGCAGGCUGAGUCUUGAUUGGGCGACAAGAAUGUCUUUAGUGGAUUACAAUACUCUGUGCAGUUGCUCCGGUAGUUAGUCAGGGAGGGAAGGAGGAUUUUUUUUUUCUCUCCGUUUAAGCAAACACUCAGACUAGGGAAAAGGGGAGCCACGCAUGGGGAGCAAUGCAGCAGCGUGAGUUCACACGGCUUGCCUCCUUCUCCUCGUCUCCCCCAACAUUAACAUUCUAGUGCCAGCAGUCGGGGUUUCCUGCUGCAACUGAUAGGGUAGGAGGCCAACAAACAAGGGACCUUGGCCAUGUUCCCCAUGCUGAGAAGCUGCAAUUCCUCCUCGAAGUUGAUGCCGGGACUUGGAGCAUGUACAAAAAGCACCCUAUUUAGCCUCCAGGUCCUCCCAGGCUGCAAAGGAUCGAGCAAGGCAGAGGCAGCGGCGUAGGGAAACACCGCCCACAAAACUUCUCCCAUCUCUCGGGGCUGCACUCAGGGUCGCCUCGCCUAAGUUCCACCUGGAGGUUUCGUCUGCCUGCUUCUGCUGCCCAGCUCUCUGAAACGAAUCAACCCGAAGGAUCGUUUUGCCUUCUUUCUGUGAACGCACGCCACGAAGGGCGAGUAUUCAAGGCCAACCCACACUCGCGAGACACGUCUACGUCUGAAAAUGUGGGCUCUUCUCUGCAGGCACAGCUGCACGCCGUUCCAGGGCCCCUUAGCAGACCGGCUGCGAAAUGCGCGCUCUCUGUUGUUGGUGCUGCUGCUGCUGCCGCCACCGCCCGCCCCCCCGUCUCACUUCCUUCUAAGAGAGUAGUAAGCGGGGGAGAAGAGGGAGGGGAAUGUAAUGCUUAUAUAGA
rnacentral:lncRNA from 1 species